GAUGGUGCACAAGAAGGCUCUCGCCAGAUGCUGGUCUUGUGAUCUUGGACUUCCCAGCCUCCAGAACUGUUCUACUUGAAUCAUAGUUUCUUUGCUCCUGGGAGACCCCUGCUAUUCCCAGUGAUGCUGCGAACUGGGGUUCAAAGUGGGGUGGCCUGGUGAGGCCUAAAAUCCAUGUCCCGUGGAGAACUGCCUGCAUCCCUUACAGAACCUGCCACAUAUUUCUGCAGCUUCCAAGAGGAAGGCUGGAAUUUACUGAGCUUACUGAAGCCAAUUAUCCCAAGAGUAUGUGAUCCAGAAGCAAGAUAAAGAUCAAAAGGACUCAGCUGGGAUUUGGCCUUCUCCAAGUGGAAGGAAUAAAAUCUGCAAUUGGCUCUGAAAAUAAAAACCAAACAAAAUCUCAGGCAA
ensembl:lncRNA novel transcript